GCCCCCAUAGCUCAGGGGAUAGAGCAACGGCCUCCGGAGCCGUGUGCGCAGGUUCGAAUCCUGCUGGGGGCG
rnacentral:tRNA from 2 species